rnacentral:rRNA from 1 species
UAGGGGAUCUUCCACAAUGGACGCAAGUCUGAUGGAGCAACGCCGCGUGAGUGAAGAAGGUCUUCGGAUCGUAAAACUCUGUUGUUAGAGAAGAACACGAGUGAGAGUAACUGUUCAUUCGAUGACGGUAUCUAACCAGCAAGUCACGGCUAACUACGUGCCAG